GAACGGCAGCACGGGAGCAAUCCUGGUGGCGAGUGGCGAACGGGUGAGUAAUACAUCGGAACGUGCCCAGUAGUGGGGGAUAGCCCGGCGAAAGCCGGAUUAAUACCGCAUACGACUUACGGGUGAAAGCGGGGGAUCGCAAGACCUCGCGCUAUUGGAGCGGCCGAUGUCAGAUUAGGUUGUUGGUGGGGUAAAAGCCUACCAAGCCGACGAUCUGUAGCUGGUCUGAGAGGACGACCAGCCACACUGGGACUGAGACACGGCCCAGACUCCUACGGGAGGCAGCAGUGGGGAAUUUUGGACAAUGGGCGCAAGCCUGAUCCAGCCAUGCCGCGUGCGGGAAGAAGGCCUUCGGGUUGUAAACCGCUUUUGUCAGGGAAGAAACGGUCUGUACUAAUACUGCGGACUAAUGACGGUACCUGAAGAAUAAGCACCGGCUAACUACGUGCCAGCAGCCGCGGUAAUACGUAGGGUGCAAGCGUUAAUCGGAAUUACUGGGCGUAAAGCGUGCGCAGGCGGCUUUGCAAGACAGAUGUGAAAUCCCCGGGCUUAACCUGGGAACUGCAUUUGUGACUGCAUGGCUGGAGUGCGGCAGAGGGGGAUGGAAUUCCGCGUGUAGCAGUGAAAUGCGUAGAUAUGCGGAGGAACACCGAUGGCGAAGGCAAUCCCCUGGGCCUGCACUGACGCUCAUGCACGAAAG
rnacentral:rRNA from 1 species